rnacentral:rRNA from 1 species
CAGCAGCCGCGGGAAUACAGAGGAUGCAAGCGUUAUCCGGAAUGAUUGGGCGUAAAGCGUCUGUAGGUGGCUUUUCAAGUCCGCCGUCAAAUCCCCGGGCUUAACCUGGGAACUGCGCUUGUGACUGCACAGCUAGAGUAUGGCAGAGGGGGGUGGAAUUCCACGUGUAGCAGUGAAAUGCGUAGAGACCAGGAGGAACACCGAUGGCGAAGGCAGCCCCCUGGGCCUGUACUGACGCUCAUGCACGAAAGCGUGGGGAGCAAACAGGAUUAGAUACCCCGUAGUCCCUGUCUCUUAUACA